UGAUGAUGAGCUAGGUUCUUGAUGAAAAAGUUUUUUUAAAUGAUGUAUUCUAAAUUCUGGGACUUGAGAUGAGCCUUUGGUAAACACUGUAAGAGGUAAUUAUUAUUCUUAACAACUUUUAGGAAGAUUUAAUUUUGUAGGUGGGUCUCAGUGUAAUAGAACCUCACUGGAAAAACUAUCAACAUUUAUCAGAUAUUUCUUGCUCUUUCUAGGCAGACUGGGAAAUCCUGUGAACUACAACAGCGCUGUUUUCAUCUUUUUGACCUGUGGGGGAGGAACAUAAGAGGGAGUAACCUGAAUAACCCUCAAUGAGUUUCAUUUUCCAAAAACGUGUUACUCAGGUGUCUGAGAAGUUUCAGGUCGUCAAAGUAUAGCUUGUUUGGUAUCAAAUAUCAUUUGAUAUUCUUCUGUAUCAAGUAUGUCUUUUUCUUGACUACACCUAUUGAAUAUUCAUUGUGUCUAUCAAGGCAGAUUAAAUAUUUGCAUGCAGAACUGUUCCAGUUUUAUAAAAAGACUAUAAAGGACUAUACGCGUAUUGUUUUUUGUUUUUAACCACCACUAUUUCUCCAUCUGCUUUUCGUAGGUUUCUGCCAAGCGGAAGAACAUGAAAAAUAAUCUGGGCCCAAUGCAACCACUUUUUUUGAAAUUCUGUGUUUGUUUAUAGAGGAAAAGCAAUAACAGAUCACUGUCAAAAUGCAAUUGGUUUGGGCUCUUACAUAUCUUCCUGGAGAACGAUUCGUUCACUAUUCCCGGCUAAGAGGGCUAUGGAUACACACUCUGGUUGAAAACCUGGAAACGGAGUGGAUGUCAGAACCUGGAUGAUGAAUCUGGCUUCUUUUGCACUGCUGAGUUGAUGAAUGGGAACUGCUGAUAAAUCCAUACAAAUGAGAACU
rnacentral:lncRNA from 1 species